GGAUGUGGAUACUGUGGUUCUAAUGGCAGCCCGGGCAUCAAGAACAGAGAACCAAGAUGCUAUUGAUACCGCUAUUGUUGGGAUGCUUGCUGACCCGAAAGAGGCUCGUGCUGGUAUUCAAGAAGUACACUUCCUUCCAUUUAACCCUACUGAUAAGCGGACUGCAUUGACUUACAUAGACCACGAGGGUAAAAUGCAUAGAGUCA
rnacentral:misc_RNA from 1 species